rnacentral:lncRNA from 1 species
UGCGUGAGAGGCAGUGUGUGCCAGCAGCAAGUUUGUGCCUAUGGUAUCUUGCACUUUCGAUGGUAUCUUGAGGGUCUGAUUAGUUAUCCCUCCAAAAGUUUUCUAAGGAUCUCCCUCCACUUCUCGUGCAACUCGGGAUCUGUAGGGGUCUGGUAAGUGAGCCCUGCCUUGGAGUCGUCGAGAUCUUCUUGAGAGUCUGGUAAGUUAGCCCUCACGAGUGACAUUGUGUGCCUACAGUGAUCUUGUACCUAUGACAUCUAGCAUUUCUAGUCUUC